rnacentral:rRNA from 1 species
UACGUAGGGAGCAAGCGUUGUCCGGAAUCAUUGGGCGUAAAGGGCGCGUAGGCGGCGGGACAAGCGUGCGGUGAAAGCUCGGGGCUCAACCCCGAGUCGGCCGUGCGAACUGUCUUGCUUGAGCACUGUAGAGGCAGGCGGAAUUCCGGGUGUAGCGGUGGAAUGCGUAGAGAUCCGGAAGAACACCGGUGGCGAAGGCGGCCUGCUGGGCAGUGGCUGACACUGAGGCGCGACAGCGUGGGGAGCAAACAGG